rnacentral:rRNA from 1 species
UACCAAGGCGCUUGUGAGAACUGGGUGAAGGAACUAGGCAAAAUGGCACCGUAACUUCGGGAGAAGGUGCGCCGGUGAGGGUGAAGGACUUGCUCCGUAAGCUCAUGCCGGUCGAAGAUACCAGGCCGCUGCGACUGUUUAUUAAAAACACAGCACUCUGCAAACACGAAAGUGGACGUAUAGGGUGUGAUGCCUGCCCG